UUUCCUACUUGUGUGGUCAGUAGGGAUCUAAUGCAUUUUAAUGAAAUCCUUUUUUUGGGAAAAUUUUGUGCAUAUUGUGUGACAUUCAACAAUUUGAGUGGUUUUUUUCCCUCCUCUUUUUGCUCUUACAAUUCUUCUUUAGUAUAUUGCUCUUGGAUGUAUAUGUUAUAUUACUUCUUAAAUUUGUCAGCAGUUCUUGUUGUUUACAUGGCAAUAUACGUACAUAUUGUCAUUUGGUGCAUCUAUUAAGGGUUAAAAUUGGGUAGACUAUCUUUUUCAGCUGUAUUGCACAUCUUGCAUCCUCCCUCCCCCUUUCCCGAUUUAAUAUUUUUGUGUUGGUAUGUUCAGUUUGGAUGUUUUAAAUGAGCUUUAGAUCUAGAAUAUUUCUGUUAAUUAAUGUUGAAAAGCUGUUGAUUAGUUAUCUCGAAAACCAUAAAAACC
rnacentral:lncRNA from 1 species